rnacentral:rRNA from 1 species
AGCGAACGCUGGCGGCAGGCCUAACACAUGCAAGUCGAACGGACCCUUCGGGGUUAGUGGCGGACGGGUGAGUAACACGUGGGAACGUGCCUUUAGGUUCGGAAUAGCUCCUGGAAACGGGUGGUAAUGCCGAAUGUGCCCUUCAGGGGAAAGAUUUAUCGCCUUUAGAGCGGCCCGCGUCUGAUUAGCUUGUUGGUGGGGUAAUGGCCCACCAAGGCUACGAUCAGUAGCUGGUCUGAGAGGAUGACCAGCCACAUUGGGACUGAGACACGGCCCAAACUCCUACGGGAGGCAGCAGUGGGGAAUCUUGCGCAAUGGGCGAAAGCCUGACGCAGCCAUGCCGCGUGUAUGAUGAAGGUCUUAGGAUUGUAAAAUACUUUUCACCGGUGAAGAUAAUGACUGUAGCCGGAGAAGAAGCCCCGGCUAACUUCGUGCCAGCAGCCGCGGUAAUACGAAGGGGGCGUAGCGUUGCUCGGAAUUACUGGGCGUAAGGGAGCGUAGGCGGACAUUU